AUUGUCAAUGAAAUCAACCGAGCCCUGUCCGAGAGGGUUGCCAAUGAGAUCUUUGAGAACACAUUGAGAACCAUUGCUGGGGGAGGAGAAUGUCACAAUAUCACCUUCAUCUGCACCAAAACAGAUGUCGUCAAUCCGGAGGAAAUCAAAGAGAAUUACAAUGUUACGGAUUCACACCUUGAAAUAAGUGAAAGUGAGGAUUCUCCAGAUUAUGAGAAUAAGGAAAAGCAGGCAUGCAUAACGUUCCGUAAUGAGAGAGCGAAAGAUGAAAUCACCACACAACACAAAGAGAAA